rnacentral:rRNA from 1 species
CGAGUGAAGCGGCAACAGCUCAAAUUUGAAAUCUGGCUCUCGGGCCCGAGUUGUAAUUUGUAGAGGAUACUUUUGAUGCGGUGCCUUCCGAGUUCCCUGGAACGGGACGCCAUAGAGGGUGAGAGCCCCGUCUGGUUGGAUGCCAAAUCUCUGUAAAGUUCCUUCAACGAGUCGAGUAGUUUGGGAAUGCUGCUCUAAAUGGGAGGUAUAUGUCUUCUAAAGCUAAAUACCGGCCAGAGACCGAUAGCGCACAAGUAGAGUGAUCGAAAGAUGAAAAGCACUUUGAAAAGAGAGUUAAAAAGUACGUGAAAUUGUUGAAAGGGAAGCGUUUAUGACCAGACUUGGGCUUGGUUAAUCAUCUGGGGUUCUCCCCAGUGCACUUUUCCAGCUCAGGCCAGCAUCAGUUUUCCCCGGGGGAUAAAGGCGGAGGGAAUGUGGCUCUCUUCGGGGAGUGUUAUAGCCCACCGUGUAAUACCCUGGGGGGGACUGAGGUUCGCGCAUCUGCAAGGAUGCUGGCGUAAUGGUCAUCAACGACCCGUCUUGAAACACGGACCAAGGAGUCGUCUUCGUAUGCGAGUGUUCGGGUGUCAAACCCCUACGCGUAAUUAAAGUGAACGCAGGUGAGAGCUUCGGCGCAUCAUCGACCGAUCCUGAUGUUCUCGGAUGGAUUUGAGUAAGAGCAUACGGGGCCGGACCCGAAAGAAGGUGAACUAUGCCUGUAUAGGGUGAAGCCAGAGGAAACUCUGGUGGAGGCUCGCAGCGGUUCUGACGUGCAAAUCGAUCGUCAAAUAUGGGCAUGGGGGCGAAAGACUAAUCGAACCUUCUAGUAGCUGGUUUCCGCCGAAGUUUCCCUCAGGAUAGCAGUGUUGAACUCAGUUUUAUGAGGUAAAGCGAAUGAUUAGGGACUCGGGGGCGCUAUUUAGCCUUCAUCCAUUCUCAAACUUUAAAUAUGUAAGAAGCCCUUGUUGCUUAAUUGAACGUGGGCAUUCGAAUGUAUCAACACUAG